rnacentral:rRNA from 1 species
CCCUUUGAUGUUCUGGGCCGCACGCGUGCUACACUGAGUGGAUCAGCGGGUCAGGUUGCGCGAAAGUGUUUCCUAAUCUUUAAAUCCGCUCGUGAUGGGGAUUGACGGUUGCAAUUUUCCGUCAUGAACGAGGAAUACCUUGUAAGCGCGGGUCAUCAUCCCGCGCUGAAUACGUCCCUGCCCUUUGUACACACCGCCCGUCGCUCCUACCGAUUGAGUGGUCCGGUGAGGCUUUGGGAUCUGAGCGGAAAGAGCGUUUCGCUGUUUCUGCCCGGAAAACUCAGUCGAACCUUAUCAUUUAGAGGAAGGAGAAGUCGUAACA